AAGUCGUAACAAGGUUUCCGUAGGUGAACCUGCGGAAGGAUCAUUACAGUAUUCUUUUUGCCUGCGCUUAAUUGCGCGGCGAAGAACCUUACACACUAUGUUUUUUCUAAUUUGAAACUUUUGCUUUGGUCUGCCUUAGAAAUAAGUUGGGCCAAAGGUUUACACCAAAACUUUCAAUAUUUUAUAUUGAAUUGUUAUUUUUAAUUUAUUUGUCAAUUUUGUUGAUUAAAUUCAAAAAUUCUUCAAAAAC
rnacentral:misc_RNA from 1 species